rnacentral:misc_RNA from 1 species
UGAUGGGCGCGAGGGAGGC